rnacentral:rRNA from 2 species
CAGCAGCCGCGGUAACACCAGCCCCUCGAGUGGUGGGGAUGAUUAUUUGGCCUAAAGCGUCCGUAGCCGGCCGGAUAAGUUUCCCGUUAAAUCUAACGUCUCAAGCGUUGGCCUGCGGGAAAUACUGUCUGGCUAGAGAGUGGGAAAGGUCUGCGGUAUUCUGGGGGUAGGGGCGAAAUCCUUUGAUCCCCGGAGGACCACCAGUGGCGAAGGCUGCUGACUAGAACACGUCUGACGGUCAGGGAUGAAAGCUGGGGUAGCGAACCGGAUUAGAUACCCGGGUAGUCCCAGCCGUAAACGAUGCAUGCUAGGUGUUGGGUUGGCCACGAGCCACCCCAGUGCCGCAGGGAAGCCGUUAAGCAUGCCGCCUGGGAAGUACGAUCGCAAGAUUGAAACUUAAAGGAAUUGGCGGGGGAGCAC